CCAGGACAUCCCUGACUCUGAGACAUGGGACUCAAUAUUCAGAGACGUGGCCAUAGAAUUCUCUCCAAAGAGUGCAAAUGCCUGGCCCCUCCCCAGUGGAAUUUGUAUAGAGAUAUGAUGUUAGAGAACUAUAGAAACCUGGCCUUCCUGGCUAAUGUAUUCUUAUUACAACCAAGGCCUUUCACCUGAGCAAGGCAUAGACGAUUCAUUCUAAAAAGUGACACUGGGAAGAUAUGGGAGCUGUGGCCUUAAAAAUGUACACUUAUGGAAAAAUUGUGAAAGUGUGGGUGAAGGUAGAGGGCAAAAAGAACGUUAUAAUGUACAUAGCCAAUAUUAGACAACUACUCAUAACAAAAUUUUAACUGUGAAAGGAGAUCAAAAACAGAAUAUUACAGAAGAAGGCUCAGUUUAUGUUGGCUACUUCUACAGAAGCAUAUGUUUCUGUAAGUAAAUAUCAACAUCAAUUUUUGAAGUCCAUCUGUUGUAAUGAAAAUCAGAAAAACUUUAACCAUGACUCAAAAAUUAGUAAGCAUCAGAGUACUCAUUUUCUAGAAAAUGAUUAUAAAUGUAAUGAAUGUGGGAAAGUAUUUUAUUGAUCCUCAAAAUUUAUUUUUCAUCAGAGUAUCCUAUUCCAGAAAAGCCUGACAACUGUAAUGAAUAUGGUAAAACUUCUAGCCAGUCCUUAAAACUUUCUCAACAUCAAAUAAUUAACAUUGGAGAGAACUCACAAAGAUGUAACAAAUGUAUAAUAGUCUUUAGUCAGUCAUCACAUCUAAAUAGACAUAAGUUAAUCAACACUGGAGAGAAAUCAUUCAGAUGUAAAUAAUGUGGCAAAGCUUUUACCUGGGACUCACAUCUUAGACAACAUCAGAAAAUCCAUACUGGAGAGAAACCCUUCAAAUAUAAAGAAUGCACAAAGCCUUUAACCAAUAUGCACACUUUAUACAACAUCAGAGAAUUCACACUGGAGAGAGACUUUUUAAAUGUAAAGAAUGUGGAAAAGCUUUAAACUGGGGCUCACAACUUACUCAACAUUAGAGACUCCAUACUGGAGAGAAACUUUUCGAAUGUAAAGAAUGUGGCAAGGCCUUUAACAGGCACUCAAACCUUACUUAGUAUCAGAUAAUUCACCCCAGAUAAAAACCCCACAAGUAUAAAGAAUGUGCCAAUGCCCAAAACUAGUGCUCACACCUUACUCAACAUUAGAAAAUCAAUUCUAGAUAGAAAUCUAAUACAUGUAAUGAUUUUGAAAAAAAUAUUUGCUCAAGAUAUAUACCUUAGAAAACACCACAUUAUUUAUGCUAAAAAACAUUUUUACACAUAUAAAGCAGUUAUCAAAGCCUUUAGCUGUUGCAUAAAUCUUACUUGACAGAGAGUUCCCAUAGCAGAGAACCCAUACAAAUGUAAUAAAUGUGAAAAGACCUUUAUCCAAAAUAUAUACCCUAGAAAACAUCAGAGUUUAUGCUAGGAAGAAAUUACAGGCUCAAUAAAUGUAGGAAUGUAUUUAAUAAAAAUUAAAGUCUAAAUUAAAAUCAGAAGAAUCGCCCUAGAAAGAACUAAAGUAAUAACACUUUGAGACAUUACUCUAAAUCAGAGUGGUUAUUACAGAGAAUAAUCCAAACUCAA
rnacentral:lncRNA from 1 species